rnacentral:rRNA from 1 species
UACGAAGGGGGCUAGCGUUGCUCGGAUUCAUUGGGCGUAAAGGGUGCGUAGGUGGCAGGGUAAGUCGGAUGUGAAAUCCCGGGGCUCAACCCCGGAACUGCAUUCGAUACUGCUUUGCUUGAGUACUGGAGAGGAGAUUGGAAUUUACGGUGUAGCAGUGAAAUGCGUAGAUAUCGUAAGGAAGACCAGUGGCGAAGGCGGAUCUCUGGACAGUUACUGACACUGAGGCACGAAGGCCAGGGGAGCAAACGGG